rnacentral:rRNA from 1 species
CUCCGGUGGAUCCCGCCGGACCCGACUGCUAUCGGAUUGAGAUUUAGCCAUGCGAGUCGAACGUUCCCCUGUUGCGGGGAGCGUGGCGUACGGCUCAGUAACACGUAGUCAACCUGCCCUGGAGACAAGGACAACCCCGGGAAACUGGGAUUAAUCCUUGAUAGGUCAUCUCAUCUGGAAGGAGAGAUGGCUUAAAGGGGUACGCGGGCUUCUUCCGCGAAUUCGCUCCAGGAUGGGACUGCGUCCGAUCAGGCUGUUGGCGGGGUAAUGGCCCACCAAACCUGUAACCGGUACGGGCCUUGAGAGAGGUGGCCCGGAGAUGGACACUGAGAGAAGGGUCCAGGUCCUACGGGGCGCAGCAGGCGCGAAACCUUCGCAAUGCGCGAAAGCGUGACGAGGUUAAUCCGAGUGACUCCCGCUGAGGGGGUCUUUUGUCAGCUGUAAAUAGGCAGGCGAAUAAGGGGAGGGCAAGCCUGGUGUCAGCCGCCGCGGUAAUACCAGCCCCUCGAGUGGUCGGGGCGAUUAUUGGGCCUAAAGCAUCCGUAGCCGGUUCCGUAGGUCCUCUGUUAAAUCCAACCGCUCAACGGUUGACCUGCAGAGGAUACCGCGGGACUAGGAGGCGGGAGAGGCGGACGGUACUCCGCGUGUAGGGGUAAAAUCCUUUGAUCCGCGGAAGACCACCAGUGGCGAAGGCGGUCCGCCAGAACGCGCUCGACGGUGAGGGAUGAAAGCUGGGGGAGCGAACCGGAUUAGAUACCCGGGUAGUCCCAGCCGUAAACGAUGCUAGCUAGAUGAUUCAUUCGCAAGUCGCGAAUGAAGUGUCGCAGGGAAGCCGUUAAGCUAGCCGCCUGGGGAGUACGGUCGCAAGACUGAAACUUAAAGGAAUUGGCGGGGGAGCA